AUCCAGGGCCACACCAUCCUGAACUCGCCUGAUCUUAGAAGCUAAGCAGCAUUGGGCCUGGUUUAGCACUUGGGUGGGAGGCCACCUGGGAAUACCUGGUGCUGUAGGUU
ensembl:rRNA 5S_rRNA 5S ribosomal RNA